rnacentral:lncRNA from 1 species
CAUGUGCGAAUGAGCACAAUGGCAAGCAUGCGUGUAAGGUACCGGACUUCUAAAUCAUGGAGUUAUGGUGUACAUUUGGUUAGUGAGCCAUUAGAAGGGUUCCGAUGAAGUUCGGUGAAGUUCGGGAGCAUUCGGGCGAUUCGGUGCGCGUAGGCGCGGAAACGGGACCCGAAAGGCUAUGUUGGGUUGUGAACUAAAUCCGGCGUUAGCGUGGAUGAAAAGAUGAUGAAAAUACGCUCGAAAACAUGUUUGGAGAGUCUCGGUUCGAUUUGAAACGAAUCGGAGGUCAAACGGGCGAAAACGGAGCGAAAACGGACCCCGAAAGCUGAAAAAGCUGAAAAUUUGGCUAAGUCUGGAAUGCUGUUUUUCUGGACGUUCGGGGACCGGUCCCUCAAGUCCAGAGACCGGUCCCAGCACCCGAAAAUGGCCCAGUUUGGGCUGUGUGUGACUUAUAUUGUUGAGGGACCUUUGUGCAAUUGUGCAAAGGGUAUAGAGGUGUGUUGGAGCUCAUUUCUCUCCUUCUCCCUCACAUUUGCAACCAAAAGAAGACCUCUCUCUCUCUCAAGCUCUCCUCUCUCUCUCUACAAGGGUGGAUCUUGGAGGUUGAUUUGGUGGAGAACAAGAUCAAGAGAGGGAUUAGCAUCUUCUUCUUCUUCCUCUCCACCAUUGGAGCUUGCUUUAGAGGUAAGCUUGCUACCCCUUUAAUGGUAGAUCUUUAAUGGUUGGUUUAAAUACCUUAUAAAUGGUAUUUUUGGAAUCCUAGGAUGCUAAUUAGAUGGAUUAUGAUUGGAUCCAAAGCUAGAAUGGUGGAUUUUUACCUAGUUGAAACCUAGGGCUCCAAAAUGGGAUUUUGGGAAAUAUAGGGUUUUGAUCUAAAUUGAAUGGUUGUAAACCUAAUUGCUAGGUAUUCCGACGCGUUGGCGAAGUUGGUUCGUCGAUUUGUCGAGCGGGUGCCAAGAUAUUGAAGAAAAGGUUUGUUGAGGUACAGAUUGCCGCAGCUCGCAGCGAAAGCUUCCUAAAAUCGCAAAAUCGGAAUCGUGGGCUCGUGGCAUCACCUAAAGGUGGGGGGUGUCAUCCCGAAGCAACUGGGCUUCUCCCUAUGUCUAAGUUUCAUUAUCGAUCAUGUUGCAUAUCGAGCUUUGCAUUAUAAGGUGCUAGAUGAUAAAUGUAUAUAUAUAUAUAUAUAUAUAUAUAUAUAUAUAUAUUCUUGCAUGCUAGUAGAGUAGUGUAAAGUUGAAUUGCUUAAAUACUUGUACCUAAUAUGCAUGAGAUUGGGACGUAGUGUUGUGAAACCCUAUAAUGACAUGGUUAAGGUGGAUUAAACUCUAGUUGAAUGACAACCUAGUGUGUUAUGUGCAAGUGGCGUAUUGAGAACGUUGAACUAUGAUGAGUGGCAUCUAGUUAAUGUUAAACUUGACGAGUGGCAUGAUAAGUAAAGUAUAGUGGAGAUACUUGUUGCAUGUUAAACUUAGGGGUGAACUAGUUCCCAAGUGAGGUCGUCUAGAGUGGUAGGGUAUCCUCAGUGACGGGGAUUUGAUUAUACUCAUAUGUCUGUUCGUAGCUUGGGGUGGUCGCUCCACACAAGCAGUGCACUCCGGAGUUGUCACACGAUAGGGAUAGCCGUUAGGGUCCCGAGGGAUAGCCGUUAGGAUCCCGCAGACAGUCUUGGGCGAGUGAGCUGAUCCUACCCAGGUGAGUCGGGUGAGUGAGCUGAUCCUCACCUAUGAGUUGAGAUUGGGUUGUCGUACUUGUGUGUGAGUCGGGCGAGUGAGCGGAUCCUCCCCGUUAUGACUAGAUUGUGAGUCGGGCGAGUGAGCGGAUCCUCCCCGUUAUGACUAGAUUGUGAGUUGGGAGAGCGAGCGGAUCCUCCCCGUAGAGAGUGUGUGUGUGUUGUGAGUCGGGCGAGUGAGCGGAUCCUCCCCGUAGAGAGUGUGUGUGUGUUGUGAGUCGGGCGAGUGAGCGGAUCCUCCCCUGUGUGACUGUGUGGACGUGUGUGACUUCUUGACAUAGUAUCAUGUGGUAGAUUGCAUAUUAUGUUGUAGUUCAUACAUUUGACUUUUGAUGGCAUAGUAGAUCUUAGUUGCAGUUCAAUAUCUAUCUAUCUAUCUAUCUGUCUGUCUAUCUGUGCCAGCUUAGACCUAGUGGGAAGAUCGGCGGAGUCGGCGGCCGAACCCACUGGGAACUAUAUUUAUAUAGUUCUCACCCCGUGUGGUUUUGGGGUACAGGUACACACGAGAGUGGUCCGGCAGUUGAUCGCGGUAAGGGCUUAGCGCCCUAGAGGUUGUAGUAGUAGCUCUCUUACCCUUUGCAUUAGAGCUACCUUGUACAUACUUGAGAGUAGAUGAUGUAUAGGUGUGAGAUGUUUUGGAAAAUUGUAAACUUUAAGUUUAUGUUGUAUUUUGGAUGAAUGUGAAGUAAUCAAAUGUAUUAAAGUUGAAUGGAUGUAAUAGAUUAGUAUCUCUCUUUUAUUCACUUGUUUAUUACUUGUGAUGCUUGCUCUUUAGUUAAUUAGCACUGGUUGUGCUCUCGCUGUUGUUGUCUGAUUGUGUAUGUAAUCAAGUUGUUUUCCUGGGCACUUGUGUACACAAUCUCGUUGCUUAGCCGUGGGCGGACAGGGGAGGUGCUGUCCGUUCGGCGUCUGUCCGACGUGCCCGAACAGGCCAAAUUGGUAGAGGUCUCGGGGCGUGACAAUGCAUAUAAGUCUGUCUCAAGUACCAAGUCCUCAUGUCUAAAACAUGGAAUAUAUCGAAUGUCACAAAGGCCUAUCACUAUGUCGUCAUGUCUCUAACAUGGAAUAUAGUCGAUGUCUAAUGGCCUAUCACUAUGUCUCUAUGUUGCAUUUUCAUAGUUUACUAGUUCCAAGUGCCCCUUUAUGACACUAUUGUUCAAUGAGUCCAAGCAUGGUAUUUAUGUUAAUGAAUACAUAAUUCUACUCAUUUCAAA